UUCACAGAUUCCUCUCUCUCUAGAACAGAAACCUUGCCCUAACUCAAGUGCUCUGACUUCUCUCUAGGUUUCCAGCCAUUUCCACCGAUUGAAUCCUAAUUUGGUGGUGUUUUCUUGUUCCUGGAGUCAAGAGCUACGAAACCAUCCGAUUGGUUUUGCGUUCCAGCGGGUUCUGUACAGUUUCGCACGGUGUUGGGGGUACUGUUAGAGCAUCUGAACCCUCUCCGGUGACCAAUUGGGUAGCGAUGUGAAGUGGAGAACAAGUAUUUUGUGGGGCUCAGCCUUGGGAGUCAUUCUGACGCUCCAAUGGUCAAUCAUACUCACUUAGAGAAGUUGAACCAUGUGGUGAGGAGUAGCAGGAGGUCCUUAGUCUUGGGGGCUCCCAGUAUACCUCAAGGCGCAGAACGGACUAAUCUCGUGAGUGUGACAGGGUGGGGAAUCCAAGUUUCAUAAGUCACCACGGGUGCAAGACUCGCCAUAGCCCGACUAUCAUUUUAAAGUCCGGACGAGUCAAGUCUAGAAAUUAACAUGCUUAGGUUGUAUUUCUGAAAUUAUUUGGUGUGAGUUAUUUCUUGUAUGUAUAUGCUUAAAUUGAGUUGCAUGAUUUUAUAUAAUUAGCUCACCCUUACUUGUUUGUGUUUGUGUUUGUUGCAUGCUUUUUCUUUUGCAAUGAUCAUCCACUUGGAUGUGAGCAGAGGAGAAUGAAGCCUCAGUGGAGAAUGUCCUGGAGGGGAAUGAGGAAGCAACUUCUUAGUCUCUCUAGGAAUUCCAUAGCUUUCCAUGUAUCUGAACAAUUCCAGUUCUUGUAUUUUGAAGUACUUUAGUAUUCCACGUUUUAAAAAUUUCUUCUACAUUCCGGAUUACUGUAAUCCUUAAAUUUUAAUUUCUUAGAACCUUAUUUGCUAUUUUAUUAUUCUAACUGUUUUCUAUUGUCA
rnacentral:sRNA from 1 species